rnacentral:rRNA from 1 species
UACAGAGGGUGCGAGCGUUAAUCGGAAUUACUGGGCGUAAAGCGUGCGCAGGCGGUUUGUAAGCCAGAUGUGAAAUCCCCGGGCUCAACCUGGGAAUGGCAUUUGGGACUGCAAGGCUGGAGUGCGGCAGAGGAGACUGGAAUCCUGGUGUAGCAGUGAAAUGCGUAGAUAUCAGGAGGAAUACCGAUGGCGAAGGCAGGUCUCUGGGCUGACACUGACGCUCAUGCACGAAGCGUGGGAGCGAACA